rnacentral:misc_RNA from 1 species
GAUGAAGAACCAGCGAAAUGCGAUAAGUAGUGUGAAUUGCAGAAUUCAGUGAAUCAUCGAAUCUUUGAACGCACAUUGCGCCCUUUGGUAUUCCAAAGGGCAUGCCUGUUCGAGCGUCAUUUGUACCCUCAAGCUUUGCUUGGUGUUGGGCGUCUUGUCUCCAGUUCGCUGGAGACUCGCCUUAAAGUAAUUGGCAGCCGGCCUACUGGUUUCGGAGCGCAGCACAAGUCGCGCUCUCUUCCAGCCAAGGUCAGCAUCCACAAAGCCUUUUUUCAACUUUUGACCUCGGAUCAGGUAGGGAUACCCGCUGAACUUAAGCAUAUCAAUAAGCGGAGGA